rnacentral:rRNA from 1 species
CACGUAGGGCGCAAGCGUUGUCCGGAAUUAUUGGGCGUAAAGAGCUCGUAGGCGGUCUGUUGCGUCCGCCGUGUGAAAACUCGGGGCUUAACCCCGUAGCCGUGCAGUGGAUACGGGCAGACUCGAGUCCGGGUAGGGGAGGUGUGGAAUUCCCGGUGUAGCGGUGAAAUGCGCAGAUAUCGGGAGGAACGACCAGUGGCGAAGGCGGCACGUCGUGGGCCGGAACCUGGACG